GACGAACGCUGGCGGCGUGCCUAAUACAUGCAAGUAGAACGCACAGUUUAUACCGUAGCUUGCUACACCAUAGACUGUGAGUUGCGAACGGGUGAUUAACGCGUAGGUAACCUGCCUGGUAGCGGGGGAUAACUAUUGGAAACGAUAGCUAAUACCGCAUAAUAUUAAUUAUUGCAUGAUAAUUAAUUGAAAGGUGCAAUUGCACCACUACCAGAUGGACCUGCGUUGUAUUAGCUAGUAGGUGAGGUAACGGCUCACCUAGGCGACGAUACAUAGCCGACCUGAGAGGGUGAUCGGCCACACUGGGACUGAGACACGGCCCAGACUCCUACGGGAGGCAGCAGUAGGGAAUCUUCGGCAAUGGACGAAAGUCUGACCGAGCAACGCCGCGUGAGUGAAGAAGGUUUUCGGAUCGUAAAGCUCUGUUGUAAGAGAAGAACGGGUGUGAGAGUGGAAAGUUCACACUGUGACGGUAUCUUACCAGAAAGGGACGGCUAACUACGUG
rnacentral:rRNA from 1 species